AGCAGCCGCGGUAAUUCCAGCUCCAAUAGCGUAUAUUAAAGUUGUUGCAGUUAAAAGCUCGUAGUUGAAUUUCGGGAUCAAUUAGUCGGUCGUGCCUCUGGUACGUACUGGUUUUAUUGGUUCCUCCCUUCUGACGAAACAUGAUGUCAUUAAUUUGGUGUCGUGGAGAAUCAGGACUGUUACCUUGAAAAAAUUAGAGUGUUUAUAGCAGGCUAACGCUUGAAUACAUUAGCAUGGAAUAAUGAAAUAGGACGUUCGACCCUAUUUUGUUGGUUUCUAGGAUCGACGUAAUGAUUAAUAGGGAUAGUUGGGGGCAUUAGUAUUCAAUUGUCAGAGGUGAAAUUCUUGGAUUUAUUGAAGACUAACUACUGCGAAAGCAUUUGCCAAGGAUGUUUUCAUUAAUCAAGAACGAAAGUUAAGGGGAUCGAAGACGAUCAGAUACCGUCGUAGUCUUAACCAUAAACUAUGCC
rnacentral:misc_RNA from 1 species